rnacentral:misc_RNA from 1 species
CUCUUUCUCUGUCUCUCUCUCUCAUAGAUGUCUUCAAAUAAGAAUGCACCAAGACCGCAGUCUUACAUUGAAAUGUGAUCGAUUUAAUGACCUUAAUCAUGCCUCUUAUCAAGCGAAAAUGGAUAGCAUGCUUAUGUUCUUAUUUAUGCGUUUUGGAUCUAUCUAUUGAUUGUUGUCCUAUACAGGAGCCUUCAGAUGAACUAAAAAUUUUCCAUGAGCUGGUUGCGAGCCUAAACAAUAAGAUUCGCGGAUCUA